GAUGAACGCUGGCGGCGUGCCUAAUACAUGCAAGUCGAGCGAACAGAUGAGGAGCUUGCUCCUCUGACGUUAGCGGCGGACGGGUGAGUAACACGUGGAUAACCUACCUAUAAGACUGGGAUAACUUCGGGAAACCGGAGCUAAUACCGGAUAAUAUAUUGAACCGCAUGGUUCAAUAGUGAAAGACGGUUUUGCUGUCACUUAUAGAUGGAUCCGCGCCGCAUUAGCUAGUUGGUAAGGUAACGGCUUACCAAGGCAACGAUGCGUAGCCGACCUGAGAGGGUGAUCGGCCACACUGGAACUGAGGCACGGUCCAGACUCCUACGGGAGGCAGCAGUAGGGAAUCUUCCGCAAUGGGCGAAAGCCCGACGGAGCAACGCCGCGUGAGUGAUGAAGGUCUUCGGAUCGUAAAACUCUGUUAUUGGGGAAGAACAAAUGUGUAAGUAACUAUGCACGUCUUGACGGUACCUAAUCAGAAAGCCACGGCUAACUACGUG
rnacentral:rRNA from 1 species